AAAUCGUACCCCAAACCGACACAGGUGGUCAGGUAGAGAAUACCAAGGCGCUUGAGAGAACUCGGGUGAAGGAACUAGGCAAAAUGGUGCCGUAACUUCGGGAGAAGGCACGCUGACACGUAGGUGAAGUGAUUUACUCAUGGAGCUGAAGUCAGUCGAAGAUACCAGCUGGCUGCAACUGUUUAUUAAAAACACAGCACUGUGCAAACACGAAAGUGGACGUAUACGGUGUGACGCCUGCCCGGUGCCGGAAGGUUAAUUGAUGGGGUCAGCGCAAGCGAAGCUCCUGAUCGAAGCCCCGGUAAACGGCGGCCGUAACUAUAACGGUCCUAAGGUAGCGAAAUUCCUUGUCGGGUAAGUUCCGACCUGCACGAAUGGCGUAAUGAUGGCCAGGCUGUCUCCACCCGAGACUCAGUGAAAUUGAACUCGCUGUGAAGAUGCAGUGUACCCGCGGCAAGACGGAAAGACCCCGUGAACCUUUACUAUAGCUUGACACUGAACAUUGAGCCUUGAUGUGUAGGAUAGGUGGGAGGCUUUGAAGCGUGGACGCCAGUCUGCAUGGAGCCGGCCUUGAAAUACCACCCUUUAAUGUUUGAUGUUCUAACGUGGACCCGUGAUCCGGGUUGCGGACAGUGUCUGGUGGGUAGUUUGACUGGGGCGGUCUCCUCCUAAAGAGUAACGGAGGAGCACGAAGGUUGGCUAAUCCUGGUCGGACAUCAGGAGGUUAGUGCAAUGGCAUAAGCCAGCUUGACUGCGAGCGUGACGGCGCGAGCAGGUGCGAAAGCAGGUCAUAGUGAUCCGGUGGUUCUGAAUGGAAGGGCCAUCGCUCAACGGAUAAAAGGUACUCCGGGGAUAACAGGCUGAUACCGCCCAAGAGUUCAUAUCGACGGCGGUGUUUGGCACCUCGAUGUCGGCUCAUCACAUCCUGGGGCUGAAGUAGGUCCCAAGGGUAUGGCUGUUCGCCAUUUAAAGUGGUACGCGAGCUGGGUUUAGAACGUCGUGAGACAGUUCGGUCCCUAUCUGCCGUGGGCGCUGGAGAACUGAGGGGGGCUGCUCCUAGUACGAGAGGACCGGAGUGGACGCAUCACUGGUGUUCGGGUUGUCAUGCCAAUGGCACUGCCCGGUAGCUAAAUGCGGAAGAGAUAAGUGCUGAAAGCAUCUAAGCACGAAACUUGCCCCGAGAUGAGUUCUCCCUGAGACUUAGAGUCUCCUGAAGGAACGUUGAAGACGACGACGUUGAUAGGCCGGGUGUGUAAGCGCAGCGAUGCGUUGAGCUAACCGGUACUAAUGAACCGUGAGGCUUAACCUUACAACGCCGAAG
rnacentral:rRNA from 4 species